UAGGGAAUAUUGGGCAAUGGAGGGAACUCUGACCCAGCCAUGCCGCGUGCAGGAUGAAGGCGUUAUGCGUUGUAAACUGCUUUUAUAUAGGAAGAAAUAGUCCUUGCGAGGAAAGUUGACGGUACUAUAUGAAUAAGCACCGGCUAACUCCGUGCCAGCAGCCGCGGUAAUACGGAGGGUGCAAGCGUUGUCCGGAUUUAUUGGGUUUAAAGGGUGCGUAGGCGGUUUAUUAAGUCAGUGGUGAAAGACGGUCGCUCAACGAUUGCAGUGCCAUUGAUACUGGUAGACUUGAGUAUGAUUGAGGUAGCUGGAAUGGAUAGUGUAGCGGUGAAAUGCGUAGAUAUUAUCCAGAACACCAAUUGCGUAGGCAAGUUACUAAGUCAUAACUGACGCUGAGGCACGAAAGUGUGGGUAUCAAACAGGAUUAGAUACCCACGUAGUCCCUGAGCGGGCUGGCAAGGCGCAU
rnacentral:rRNA from 1 species